rnacentral:rRNA from 1 species
UGGGGAAUUUUGGACAAUGGGCGAAAGCCUGAUCCAGCAAUGCCGCGUGUGUGAAGAAGGCCUUCGGGUUGUAAAGCACUUUUGUCCGGAAAGAAAUCCUUGGCUCUAAUACAGUCGGGGGAUGACGGUACCGGAAGAAUAAGCACCGGCUAACUACGUGCCAGCAGCCGCGGUAAUACGUAGGGUGCAAGCGUUAAUCGGAAUUACUGGGCGUAAAGCGUGCGCAGGCGGUUUGCUAAGACCGAUGUGAAAUCCCCGGGCCCAACCUGGGAACUGCAUUGGUGACUGGCAGGCUAGAGUAUGGCAGAGGGGGGCUAGAAUUCCACGUGUAGCAGUGAAAUGCGUAGAGAUGUGGAGGAAUACCGAUGGCGAAGGCAGCCCCCUGGGCCAAUACUGACGCUCAUGCACGAAAGCGUGGGGAGCAAACAGGAUUAGAUACCCUGGUAGUCCACGCCCUAAACGAUGUCAACUAGUUGUUGGGGAUUCAUUUCCUUAGUAACGUAGCUAACGCAGUGAAGUUGACCGCCUGGGGAGUACGG